rnacentral:rRNA from 1 species
UACGUAGGGUGCGAGCGUUGUCCGGAAUUAUUGGGCGUAAAGAGCUUGUAGGCGGUUUGUCGCGUCUGCUGUGAAAAUCCGGGGCUCAACCCCGGACUUGCAGUGGGUACGGGCAGACUGGAGUGUGGUAGGGGAGACUGGAAUUCCUGGUGUAGCGGUGGAAUGCGCAGAUAUCAGGAGGAACACCGAUGGCGAAGGCAGGUCACUGGGCCGCAACUGACGCUGAGGAGCGAAAGCGUGGGGAGCGAACAGG